UAUCACGUGACAUCAAAGCUUGAUUUUGACCUUGUUGAACCCAAGCGUCACAGAAACGUACCUGAUUAUGGUGACAAGUCAUAUCGCGGAUAUAUUGAACAUUGAAAUACAGUUUCAGACUAGCUUUACGACAUCGAGAAAACAGGCGACGGGAGAAGUCAUCCCCCAUCCGACGUGUACCAGGCCGGUUUCUGGGACGGGGCAGAUGACGAGUCCGGGGGUGACUGUCCAGCCUCUAUCACACUAACCUGCAAGUGGAGUGCCCCUCCUUGAACACGGAGGAGCUUGUUGUGUCUCCCAGCAACCGAUGUAAACUCCCCUCACUGGGGGUUUUGCUUGCCACUUAUGUGUUGCGCCAUCAUACUGGCCUGCAAAAUCCCAACUGAGGAGGGCUGAAAGCUGCUCGACCAAUCAAAUUGCUGGUUACAGUCAGGUAUCCAAUCAGAACGUGCAAAGUCACAGAACUGGACUCACAUCUUCUAGGUAAUUUAACCGAAUGACUUCAGACUGAAUAAUGUCAUGACAUACAGGUUUCAAAUGUUGGAUCUUUCCUACGGAACUGCAUACUGUAGUCGCUUAAAGUGCUUUUAUUGGAGACUUGGGAAGGUUUCAGGGAAUUGUAUCAUUAACGGGUAUCAGGUAACGGCUGUGUCUAAAAAUAUCAAGGACGCUCAAUAAAUAGUAUGCAUAUAGUCUUCUGUUUGAACGCAUGUAGGGGAGCUGUCAUUACUUUUUAAUACCGUAUUUCCUCUGUUAGAUUCCUGGUCGUCUAUUAAUUCCGUGCCAGUCGUCGACCGAGGGUCUAUUCUGUUUAAUGAUGGCACCCUUGGCGAGAAACUAUACCUUACUGAAUCCCAAAUCCUACAGUUGUACAAAGGGUACAUUUGCAUGAAAGCAACAACAUAUGGCAAUAAAAAAGGGAACUGUUAUCUUAGCUUCUAUUAGCCUGGCUUCUAUUUUCUGGAAAGAGCGCAUGGCCAUGGAUCAAGGAGAGAUCAGAAUGUAUUAUAAUCUCAGCGUCUAGCAGAGGAAAUACGGUACUCUUAAUCUGACACAUUCAGGUUUCAAAACACGCUGGAAACUGUUAUGAUUGUAUAAGGAAGGAAGCGAAACAUCCAACGCAGAAUUUCGCAAUGUCAGGAUUCUCAUGUAUGUUUGUAUAAAUAAAACUCUUAACAGAA